AUGCACGCUGGCGGCGUGCCUAAUACAUGCAAGUCGAGCGAACAGACGAGGAGCCUGCUCCUCUGACGUUAGCGGCGGACGGGUGAGUAACACGUGGAUAACCUACCUAUAAGACUGGGAUAACUUCGGGAAACCGGAGCUAAUACCGGAUAAUAUAUUGUACCGCAUGGUUCAAUAGUGAAAGACGGUUUUGCUGUCACUUAUAGAUGGAUCCGCGCCGCAUUAGCUAGUUGGUAAGGUAACGGCUUACCAAGGCAACGAUGCGUAGCCGACCUGAGAGGGUGAUCGGCCACACUGGAACUGAGACACGGUCCAGACUCCUACGGGAGGCAGCAGUAGGGAAUCUUCCGCAAUGGGCGAAAGCCUGACGGAGCAACGCCGCGUGAGUGAUGAAGGUCUUCGGAUCGUAAAACUCUGUUAUUAGGGAAGAACAAAUGUGUAAGUAACUAUGCACGUCUUGACGGUACCUAAUCAGAAAGCCACGGCUAACUACGUG
rnacentral:rRNA from 1 species